rnacentral:tRNA from 1 species
AUCACAAUGCUUAGUGGAUAAAGCGCCUGCCUUGUAAACAGGAGAUCCUGGGUUCAAAUCCCAGCACUAUCUGAUU